GGGGACGUGGCUCAGUGGUAGAGUGUAUACUUAGCAAGCACAAGGGCCUGGGUUUGAUCCCCAGCUUCAUGA
rnacentral:tRNA from 1 species